CAUUGGCCCUUCCCACUUGUACCCUCAACUGCCCUUAAAUACCCAACCUCUGGAUCAAUAAAGCAGAGUUGUCUGACUGCAAUGGUCUCCGGAAGUCAUCCCAUCAUCCAGCCAUUCAAACCUUACCCACUGCUUCUGCUCCCUCUGUCCUCUCAGGCUGGUGGCCAAUGAGAGAAGGGGAAGGGAGAGCCACACAGCUCAAGAAAGAAAAAAAGAUACCAACAACGGAAAAGAGUACGGUUGGAGCUGUUUUGUGGUAAUGAGCUAGAAAGGAGGAAUGGUUUUGCCAACUGGAAGAGACACUAAGACUGAGGAUGUCUUGCUGCUGUUUAAAGAGAAAUCUUCUGAACCUAGCAAAGUAAAUAACAGCCCACCCUAGUGAGUCUGACCUCACACUCAAAAUGACAACCCUCGAGCUUCAGACAGCAUCACACCGAUCAGUCUAGAGAACUAUCAGCCUGCCCUUCACAAGCACCGUGAGCCAGCCCUGCAGAAAGAGAAGAGCAAUCGGGAGUUUCAUGUGGAAGGGCUCUUAAAAUCAACAGUCUUUUGAUGAGGCCUUGGAUUCAUUUCUGUGCACUUACGUUUCUACACUGCAUAUAAACAAAUUCGCUAAUUUACACUGUCAUGUUUUAAGAUUGUUAUUACACCUGAGUCAAAGACACUUGGAUCAAAUGUGCUACUUAACAAUUUUUUUUCCAGUUUGUACCAGAUGGCUCAUCUAACCAACGAGCAACUUCAGGAGGGGCGUACUGAACCGCACAGAGAUGAUGUGUCUGAGGGGAAUCCCAAGGCAGGUUCUUUACUGAGUUUCUAGCACGUGCUAAAUAGUAUGUUUAAAUAGGAACACCAUGUUCCAAACCACAGAUCAUCGCUGAGUAUGAGGAGUUCUUGUUGCUGUCAGAGGAGAAUGGAAAGAAGAAAGACCAGGGUGCAUUUCCAUUCAGCCAUUGCCUAGUUAAACUGUUGACACAGGUGCUUCUUCAAAAUCACGAUGGAUGGCUACACUUUUUGAAGUUUUGAAGUUAUCAAAAUAACUAACACUAAUUUACUACCUCCUAUGUGUCAGGCAUUGCAACAAUAACCCUAACAUGUGGGUCUUCAUAGUCUCCAGAAUUUUUAGAGAUAAAAUUAAUAAAGGACAGAUCGCC